AGAGAAGUGACAGAGUGGCUUAUUGUACUCCCCUGCUAAGGGAGAGCGGUUUAACACCCGCCGAGGGUUCAAAUCCCUCCUUCUCUG
rnacentral:tRNA from 1 species